rnacentral:rRNA from 1 species
UACGAAGGACCCAAGCGUUAUCCGGAUUUAUUGGGUUUAAAGGGUGCGUAGGCGGACAUGCAAGUCAGUGGUGAAAUCUCCCUGCUCAACAGGGAAACUGCCAUUGAAACUAUGUGUCUUGAGUACAUUUGAGGCGGGCGGAAUGUGUCAUGUAGAGGUGAAAUUCUUAGAUAUGACACAGAACACCAAUUGCGAAGGCAGCUCGCUAAACUGUAACUGACGCUGAGGCACGAAAGCGUGGGGAGCAAACAGG